ACGGCCGCAAGGUUAAAACUCAAAUGAAUUGACGGGGGCCCGCACAAGCGGUGGAGCAUGUGGUUUAAUUCGAUGCAACGCGAAGAACCUUACCUGGUCUUGACAUCCACGGAAGUUUUCAGAGAUGAGAAUGUGCCUUCGGGAACCGUGAGACAGGUGCUGCAUGGCUGUCGUCAGCUCGUGUUGUGAAAUGUUGGGUUAAGUCCCGCAACGAGCGCAACCCUUAUCCUUUGUUGCCAGCGGUCCGGCCGGGAACUCAAAGGAGACUGCCAGUGAUAAACUGGAGGAAGGUGGGGAUGACGUCAAGUCAUCAUGGCCCUUACGACCAGGGCUACACACGUGCUACAAUGGCGCAUACAAAGAGAAGCGACCUCGCGAGAGCAAGCGGACCUCAUAAAGUGCGUCGUAGUCCGGAUUGGAGUCUGCAACUCGACUCCAUGAAGUCGGAAUCGCUAGUAAUCGUGGAUCAGAAUGCCACGGUGAAUACGUUCCCGGGCCUUGUACACACCGCCCGUCACACCAUGGGAGUG
rnacentral:rRNA from 1 species